ACGGGCUUCGGUCUGGUGGCGAGUGGCGAACGGGUGAGUAAAGUAUCGGAACGUACCUUUCAGUGGGGGAUAACGUAGCGAAAGUUACGCUAAUACCGCAUAUUCUGUGAGCAGGAAAGCAGGGGAUCGCAAGACCUUGCGCUGAUUGAGCGGCCGAUAUCAGAUUAGCUAGUUGGUGGGGUAAAGGCCUACCAAGGCGACGAUCUGUAGCGGGUCUGAGAGGAUGAUCCGCCACACUGGAACUGAGACACGGUCCAGACUCCUACGGGAGGCAGCAGUGGGGAAUUUUGGACAAUGGGGGCAACCCUGAUCCAGCCAUGCCGCGUGAGUGAAGAAGGCCUUCGGGUCGUAAAGCUCUUUCGGCCGGGAAGAAAUCGCAUGGGCUAAUACCCUGUGUGGAUGACGGUACCGGAAUAAGAAGCACCGGCUAACUACGUGCCAGCAGCCGCGGUAAUACGUAGGGUGCGAGCGUUAAUCGGAAUUACUGGGCGUAAAGCGUGCGCAGGCGGUUUAGUAAGACAGGCGUGAAAUCCCCGGGCUCAACCUGGGAACUGCGCUUUGUGACUGCUAAGCUAGAGUAC
rnacentral:rRNA from 1 species